ACUGGGUGACUCAUAGGAAAAUAAAAGGAUACAGUGCCCAGAAUCCAGCUGUCACCUCUCCUGACAUUUAAACAACUCUCCAGUUCCUCAGACCCCUAAACUCCUCCAAGAACGCAAAAGAUUCAAUUUUUUCAUCACAGUACAUGCAUACAGUGGGCAAAAAGCAAAGCUUGGUAAUCACCUUGGCAUUGCCUAGCUCUGUGAUGCUGAAGACAUUCUCAUUUCUAUGCAUUACAGAAGAGAUUCAGACUUCCAGAGUUUGUAAGCUUUGGAAGAUGCUAGUUGAGCAUUCUGCACUAUGGAGACAUGUACCUGACACCUUACAGGGUAUGUAUAGACUCUAUUCUGGAAAAUGUUUGAGAGUAUCUGCUUUAUAUAGCAGUUCUUACACAGAACCUAUUCUGGGCUCCUCAGAGGGUGUAUAUAUGAUGGCUCAGUGGAGCUCUGAUAUUGUUCAUGAGCCCUGA
rnacentral:lncRNA from 1 species